AUAUAUUUAUUUGGUGAUGUUCUCCACCAGAGCCAAAGCGCUGUGACACAAUUACGUUGUGCCGCGUAAUGCUGCUGCUUAUGUACGUGUGAUUGUAUACACACCUUGGUCACCUUAAAGUAAUCAAUCCUGUUUGGAGUUAAUCUGUUGAUCCAACCCCGUUUUCUUUUUUUAGUGAGAAUGAAAUGACCCCAUAGAUGCAUUUCAUGAGCUUCGAUGCACGGACCAAUGCGUUGCACCUUUAUGAGACAAAAACUGAGGCGAGUCAGUCAGCAGCAGCUCCAAUCCCAACAUAACCUUUGACCCCUGUCCCAGUAAAAAAACAGUGCUAUCUAGAAACAACCAAUCAGAGGCAUCCAUCCAUCCAGCCCGCCUCACGGUAGAUGCUGCGCCGAUCCGCCUGUCGAUCUCCUGUUCCCUUCUUCCCUCAUUCGUGAACAAGAUCCCGGAGUUCACUGCCCCAAGU